AUGCGAGUACCGAAUGCCCUCUAUGAGCCGGUUCCUUUAAGUGAACGAUGGGAGCUGCUUUAGUUUGUUUUUUUUGUAAAUGAAUACAAGACAGAAUAAUAGGAUGAUCUUUACUAUGGGAUACAUUUGCAUACACUAUUGUGUCACAUUUUUUUAUUUAUUUAUUUAUUUUUAUUUAAAAAAGUAGAAAAUAACUAUUCCCGCUGGGUUUAAUUUUCGAGGGGUUUCCUGUCAGUGUCCUCAAGCUGACUUCUGAGAUAAACCUGGUGUAAAAAUAUACUCCAUCUGACUAGUUUUGGUUUUGGUGACACUUUUUCCUGAGAAGAAAAAGGCGGAUUUCAGAAAGAAUAACGACUAUAAACGAAUGAACGAAUGUAGGGAAUGAGGUUGUUCACUCAGAAACCAGACACCACUAUAAAAUGGCCGACACCCUAUAUAGUGCACUGUAAUAGGAGAUAGGGAGCAGUUUCAGACAGAGCUCACGAGUCCGUAGUGUGACCCAUUUGUGAUUUUAGCACUUGUGAGGGUCCUCGCGAGCGCCCCCUUUGCGAAGCCCGCGCUGGCACAGGCUCACCGUUCUUGCUACAGACCAAUCAGAAAGCAGAGGAGGAGUUUCUUUGUGCGGGAAGUGGAGGAUGAGUUUCGAUUGCAGGUUUUAGCCAACAUAACAGAGAAGAUGAUUUUUAAGUGUAAGUUUUCGGCCGCUGGAUCGUAUGUCAGCGUCGCCGCCAUAUUGGUCCGGGCAACAGUAAUAAGUUUCAGCCUGUAUUAUAGUUUAUAUUAUAAACUAAAUUGCCCAUAAUCGAGAUUUCCAUCUAAUACUGCAGUUUUUCUCCAAACCGACUUUUAUGACGAGCUCCUCGUUUCGGCUGAGCAAGUCAUAUAUUGUGUAUCUUACAGCCGUUAGUUGGCUACCUAACUUUUCUCACACUCUAAAGGUUUCCUAAAGAGAGUUGAGGAGGCAGGGGGAAGUAGCUGUAAGAAGGGAAGGUUUUUCCGCAAGUGAGUCCUCUGUGCUGUGCACUGAGCGCUUCAAGCCGGAGGACUUUGACAGGACAGACUGUCAAGAUUAGAGAUGGAGAUGAACCACCUGUAGGGUAGGUAUGUCGAUAGAUAUAAUGAUUUAAUAGCUUGUCAUCAAAUCGUGGCUCAUUAUUAUUAUUAUUAUUAUUAUUAUUAUUAUUAUUAUUGUUGUUGUUGUUGUUGCUGUUAUUAUUUUUAUUAUAAUAUGUAUUAUUAGCUAUUACAAAUUUAUUACUAUUAUUAUUAUUAUUAUUAUUAGUAGUAGUAGUAGUAGUAAUAGUAGUACUAGUAUUAGCUAUUACAGAUUUAUUAUUAUUAUUUAUUUAUUUAUUUAUCUAUUUAUUCAUUUAUUUAUUUUGGUGUUGCCCUGGAAUUUGUUUAACUUUCUCAAAUCUUUCCUUUAAAUAUUUGUUGCCAUUUAUUUUUAGUUGAAAAUGGGAAGCUGAUAAUUACUUUUCAGUUUAACAAACUCGUUUGUAAAAUUCAUAUUUGUGUCAUGAGAGGUUGUCACUACCUGUUUAGUCAAUUCCUGUUAGUUCUUCCUGGUUCUGCACAAAAUCAAAGAGACAAAUAUGGUGUGCUCCCUCUAAGAAUCCAGUUGCACCUACUAUGAAACAUCCUAGAGGCAAUGCCGUAAGUUUAUUUAUGUGACAUUAGACAUGUUAAAGAUCAUAUAUUAGUAAUGAAUUUGUUAAAAAGAUGAUGUUUGAUAAUUUGUUAAAAACGGUUUGUUUACUAUUGUGUGCAAGCUAACAGCAAUGCUAGUAACUGCAGCAAUGGUAACUGCUGCUUAUAGUGGGAACAGCAGUGUAUAUUCAUGUUUACAGCUAUUCACACCUGUGAUGUUUAGUCAAGAACAUGGACACUGAAUAUUAUUGUAUUGCAUUUAUUUACAGUUUUCACCAGCAUUUUAACGAGGAAGUGUGACAAUAAAUUGUCAACCUUAUUACGACUUCAUUGGUUACGGUUUAACUUGGUGUUUAGUAGAGUUUCAAAACUCUGCACAAGAACAUCACAUUAUUAUUAUUAUUAUUAUUAUUAUUAUUAUUAUUAUUAUUAUUAUUGUUGUUGUUGUUGUUGUUAUUGUUGUUUGUUAUUAUUAUUAUUAUUAUUAUUAUUAUUAUUAUUAUUAUUAUUAUUAUGUUGGCUUGAGAAGGCCAACAUACUGUUUUGCUUUAUAAGCUUAUUGUUUUCAUUAGUUUUCAUCAUGCCCCUUCGGGCCGAAGACCCCUAUUGUUUUCGUUAGUUUUCGUCUUCUUCUUCUUCUCCUUCUUCCUCUUAUUGUUAUUAUUAGGGGUCAAGCCCCGAAGGGGCGAAUACCCUUAUUGUUUUCGUUAGCUUUUUCUUCUUCUUCUUCUUCUUCUUCUUCUUCUUAUUAUUAUUAUUAUUAUUAUUAUUAUUAUUAUUAGGGCCCGAGCACCGAUGUUGUGAGGCCCUAUUGGAUCUGCUUUGUUUAUUAGGGCCCGAGCACCGAUGAUUUGAUGCCCUCUGCAUUUUCUUCUUGCUGGGGAGAGGCGGAGCUUAGCCUGCCUUUUACGUAGCUGUCAGUGCAGCCCAGUGUUGCCAACUUAGCAACUAUUUAUUUAUUUAUAUAUAUAUUUAAAGCACAUUAACAACAAAUCUAGCAACUAUUCGGACAAACCUUGGCAACUUUCCAAAUGUCGCCAGUACUGUCCUGCAAGUGUGAGGCGUUGCUUUCUCGCUGCACUCUCACCUCUCUCUGCAUCUGCUCUGUUCAGUGAGUGGCUGAGAUCCGGAGCAGCACAUUCCGUUGAUCGCACGGCAGCUGACAUAGACGUGAAUGUAAAAAGAAGCAAGAGCAGGUGCCAGGAACCCCCAGGAAACACAUGACUCUCUCUCUCUCUCUCUCUCUCUCUCUCUCUCUCUCUCUCUCUCUCUCUCGCUUUCUCUCUCUCUCUCUCUCUCUCUCUCUCUAACACACGCACGCACACCAACACACCCACAUACACACACACUUCAGACACUGUCACCAGAGCUCAUAAAUGUAAAAUUUACACUAUCUACAGAACUGUCACCCCGGGAAAACACAUGUGUAGGACAGUGUGUAUAGGCCUACAAGACAUCGCCCGGAAAAUGUGUCUUCUAGUUUAAACAAAACUCUCGAUUCUUUUAAGCAACACUUUAAAUAUUUUACAUCCUAAAGGGUUAGGUUUAGAAGGCAUGUAAUACGUGCGUUUCUUAUAAAAUGCCGUCUUUAAAACGUUUACCUCCUAAAGGGACCUAUUUAGAAGUAGUGCUGAAACAAAGGAAGGAGGAGGGAUGAGAUGUUGGAGAGCCUUUGCCACUGUGGGAGGAUCACGAUGUCGAGGAGGCGGUGGUGCUGGAGCGGUUGCCGUGGUGGACGGAGGAGCCAUAUGGCACCGCUGCUGUCUGCUUGAAAUGGAGGAGCGUUUACCGUCCUCCAGGGGACGGAGGACCUGCUGCCAUUCGAUGUGGAGGUGCUGCCACCUGAAAAGGGGAGGAGCUGUAGCCAUCCACCAGGAAGUCCAGUGCCAUCGCCCGAUGUCAUGAGGGGUUUGAAUCCCAGCUCGCUGAGGACCAGAUGAUUGCGUGUCUGGGGACUGGAGAUCCAGAUGCGGGGCCGACUGGCCGAAGGAUGUAGCCGGAAGGGCAGCACCGUCCUCCCAAAAGGAUAAAUAAAAGGAUUAAACAGGAUAAAUGAAUAACCUUAAACAGCUGAAACUAAACACUAUAAAAACAAAAUUAAACACAAACUAUAACACCUCUUUUACUCCACCAGUUUAACACUAAGCACCCUUUUAUUAUUUUAUUGUUAUUUUAUUAUUUAUGUGCUCCCCUUCAAUUGUCAUGGGCAGCCGCUCGAUAAGACCAUGCAUGGUUCCAGAGUAUAACCGUGCUGGCACUGUGUAAUGCUCUAGGGCCGGUUGCACCAGUUGGAGGUACACCUGGUUGGAAGACUAGGCUGGACGUAUAAUGAACCUUAAAUCCUACGUAGAAUUAAUACCUGUUGCACUAUCUAGGUGAGCAACAUCUAAGACGAAAUAUUAUACCUAGUCAAAGGUAGGUGUAAAGUGAAAAGUCUUGACUAGUUUUCAAGGUGAAAAUAAAAAUGUUGUUAUAAUGGCAUAUCUAAUAUAUUAGAUAUGCCAUUAUGGCUGGCUUCACAAUCAGGCAGGAAAGUUAUGAGAGACUGCAUCAAGCCUCUUGAUAUAUAUGGAGAUAGAGAACUUAUAGAAAGAUUUAGUUUCAGCGGGGCUGAACAGUUAGAAUUACUUUACGAGUUAUUGACACAGUUGCAACAUGUAACGGAUAGGAACGGCAUGCUGUCCCCAGCACUGCAGGUGCUAAUUUCUCUUUUAUUUUAUGCCAGUGGAUCUUUCCAAAAUACAGUCGCUGAUAUGGUGAAUCUAAGCAUAAGUACAACAUGCCAAGCGAUACGGCAAGUUUCUCUGACCCUUCAAGAUCGGGCUAAUCGAUAUGUUCAUCUAUUCACCCAGGAGGAGGCUACACACACCAAAGAGAGAUUUCACAGAGACUCCAGCAUACCCUGAUUUUUUUUUUUUUUUUUUUGAUGGUAUUCAUGUGCACAUCCAGGCACCAUCUAAAAAUAAAUACCUUUUUGAAAACAGGAAAGGCUUUCACUCAAUUAAUGUUCAGGUUGUGCGCUAUGCAGACAUGAAAUUAAUUGAUGUCGUGGCGCGGUGGUAUGGGUCUGCCCAUGACGCACGCAUCUUGAGGGAGAGCGCACUGGCAAAAAUGUGUGAGGAGGGACGGCUCUCUGGCAUAAUGCUUGGUGACAGUGGCUACCCUUUAAAGAAGUGGCUGAUGACACCUAUCAUGGUACCCGGAUGGAGCAGGAAAGGCAAUACAACUAUGUGCAGUCACGGGCGAGGUCGAUCAUUGAGCGCUGCAUAGGAGUGCUCAAGCACAGGUGUGUGCCUGUGGCUUAUUUUUAAGCCUGUUUAUUUUAGCCUGCACUUAAACUGGUAUUGGUUAUUAUGCAUAGCUACUGCAUAGCUAGGCAUACUAAUGACUUUUUUUAGAUUCCACUGGUUGCACAGUGAAAUCAGGAUGGAGCCAGGGACUAUCAUGUGUAUAGCAGCUGUGCUGCACAACAUUUGCAUAGCCAAGAGAGUGCCUCUCCCAAUGGAGGAUUUAGGACCAAUGGAGGCAGAGGUGGAACAAAUCAGAGAACAAGACGCAGAGGAGGACGUGACUGCUCAUCUCAUCAGAAGCAAUAUAAUUUGACUGAUCAGCCUAUAAAAGAAUUGCAAUAAGAAUUGUAGAAAAUAUCCUUAAUAAUUUUGUUCCUUCAAUAUUUAAAAAAAAAAAAUUGUCUUAAAGCAUAAGCAAAAUGAAUAACAAAGUCAAGCUGUGCAAAACGAUUGCUGGCAUAAUAUUUUCAUUAAUAAAUAUUAUUUCUGUAGCCAGCUUGAAAAUAAAUUAUUUACUGAUUAAAUUGUGUAUAUUGAGAAAUAAAAUAAGACUGUAAAAUGUUUUUAAAAUAAUUUUAAAUUAUUUUUAAAUAAUUUAUAGUAUAUUAUUUUAGUCAUAUUUAUUGUUUGGGAUUAUUUAGAUGUUCUUAAACACAUUGUCAUUCUCGAUUGUGUAGCUGGCCCUUUGCUCUAAUAGCUAGAUUUCUAAUGCAAGUUUCCGUUGCUCAAGCUUCUCUUUUUUCCACCCUUAACUUCCCCGUCUCCAUCUCCACUCUCAUCAUUUUUUCUGCAGUCAAACAGAUUGGAGAUCCGGAUUUUUUUUUACCAUUUGAGCAGGUACAGUUGGUGUGUUUGUCAUAGCUGUCCGCGAUGCUGAAAGGGGGUUGGGAUUCUCUGCAGUCGAGAGAGACACAGACUUAGUGAAGCCUAAAACAGUGGUUUUCAAAGUGGGGGCCUCAACAAUUUGGUGUGCCCAUCCCUUCCACUAAUAUGUUUUCUAUUUCUCACUCUCAGACAAACACACACACACACACACACACACACACACACACAAUCAAUUCCUAAUGUAAUGUAAAGUAAAGAUGUAAGAUGUAAUUAUUAAUAAAAA